GUGCUCACUUCAGCGGCACAUACAGUAAAAUUGGAAGGAAACAGAGAAGAUUAGCAUGGCCCCUGAACAAAGAUGACACUCAAAUUCAUGAAGCAUUCCAAAAUAAA